rnacentral:lncRNA from 1 species
CACCCCCUUUUUUUGGGGGGGUGGAAAAGGUUGUAGGGGAAAAGCUUCAAUCCCUUUUUUUGGGGGGUGGAAGAAUUUAUAGGGUCAAUGUUUCACCCCCUUUUUUUGGGGUGGAAAAGGUUGUAGGGGAAAGGCUUCGCUCCUUUUUUUUUGGGGGGGUGGAAGAAGUUGUAGGGUCAACGUUUCACCCCCUUUUUUUGGGGGUGGAAGAAGUUGUAGGGUCAACGUUUCACCCCCUUUUUUUGGGGGUGGAAGAAGUUGUAGGGUCAACGUUUCACCCCCUUUUUUUUGGGGUGGAAGAAGUUGUAGGGUAA